rnacentral:rRNA from 1 species
UACGGAGGGUGCGAGCGUUAUUCGGAAUUACUGGGCGUAAAGCGCACGUAGGCGGUCAGGCAAGUCGGGUGUGAAAGCCCUGGGCUCAACCUGGGAAUUGCAUUCGAAACUAUCUGACUCGAGUAUGGGAGAGGGAAGCGGAAUUUCCGGUGUAGCGGUGAAAUGCGUAGAUAUCGGAAGGAACACCAGUGGCGAAGGCGGCUUCCUGGACUAAUACUGACGCUGAGGUGCGAAAGCGUGGGGAGCAAACAGG